rnacentral:lncRNA from 1 species
AGAAAGAUGCUUCUAUUGGAAGGAUGACAGGCCUCUUAGAAAAGAUCAGGUAUGCCAAUAGGGGUUUUGCUUCAGUAUUGAAGGUCUGUGCAAAUGGUUUUGCUCUUGAGUUUGGUUUUGCAUUUGAAGAGGACUUGCUUUUGGUUUUGUAUCAGUUUUAUUGUCUGGUUUGGAUUGGCAUCAGUUGCAGAGCCUAUCAAUCUGAGAUAUUGCUUUUAUGUUUGAAGGUCACUAAUAAUGGUUUGGAGGUCAUUGUAAUCAUGGAGUAUUCGUUGUAAGUAGGGUUAUUGUGUUGAGUAUUCACAUAAGUAAUUAUGUUUGAUGUAAUGUAGUUUAU